rnacentral:rRNA from 1 species
GAUGAACGCUGGCGGCGUGCCUAAUACAUGCAAGUCGAGCGAACGGACGAGAAGCUUGCUUCUCUGAUGUUAGCGGCGGACGGGUGAGUAACACGUGGAUAACCUACCUAUAAGACUGGGAUAACUUCGGGAAACCGGAGCUAAUACCGGAUAAUAUUUUGAACCGCAUGGUUCAAAAGUGAAAGACGGUCUUGCUGUCACUUAUAGCUGGAUCCGCGCUGCAUUAGCUAGUUGGUAAGGUAACGGCUUACCAAGGCAACGAUGCAUAGCCGACCUGAGAGGGUGAUCGGCCACACUGGAACUGAGACGCGGUCCAGACUCCUACGGGAGGCAGCAGUAGGGAAUCUUCCGCAAAGGGCGAAAGCCUGACGGAGCAACGCCGCGUGAGUGAUGAAGGUCUUCGGAUCGUAAAACUCUGUUAUGAGGGAAGAACAUAUGUGUAAGUAACUGUGCACAUCUUGACGGUACCUAAUCAGAAAGCCACGGCUAACUACGUG